rnacentral:rRNA from 1 species
UUCGGGGUACUCGAGCGGCGAACGGGUGAGUAACACGUGAGUAAUCUGCCCCAGGCUCUGGGAUAGCCACCGGAAACGGUGAUUAAUACCGGAUACGACAACCGAUUGCAUGAUCUGGUUGUGGAAAGUUUUUCGGCCUGGGAUGUGCUCGCGGCCUAUCAGCUUGUUGGUGAGGUAAUGGCUCACCAAGGCUUCGACGGGUAGCCGGCCUGAGAGGGUGACCGGCCACACUGGGACUGAGACACGGCCCAGACUCCUACGGGAGGCAGCAGUGGGGAAUAUUGGACAAUGGGCGGAAGCCUGAUCCAGCAACGCCGCGUGAGGGAUGACGGCCUUCGGGUUGUAAACCUCUUUCAGCACAGACGAAGCGCAAGUGACGGUAUGUGCAGAAGAAGGACCGGCCAACUACGUGCCAGCAGCCGCGGUAAUACGUAGGGUCCGAGCGUUGUCCGGAAUUAUUGGGCGUAAAGGGCUCGUAGGCGGUCUGUCGCGUCGGGAGUGAAAACCAGGUGCUUAACACCUGGCCUGCUUUCGAUACGGGCAGACUAGAGGUACUCAGGGGAGAAUGGAAUUCCUGGUGUAGCGGUGAAAUGCGCAGAUAUCAGGAGGAACACCGGUGGCGAAGGCGGUUCUCUGGGAGUAUCCUGACGCUGAGGAGCGAAAGUGUGGGGAGCGAACAGGAUUAGAUACCCUGGUAGUCCACACCGUAAACGUUGGGCGCUAGGUGUGGGACACAUUCC